rnacentral:rRNA from 1 species
AUCGAACGCUGGCGGCAUGCUUUACACAUGCAAGUCGAACGGUAACAGGCCGCAAGGUGCUGACGAGUGGCGAACGGGUGAGUAAUGCAUCGGAACGUGCCCAGUCGUGGGGAUAACGCAGCGAAAGCUGCGCUAAUACCGCAUACGAUCUAUGGAUAAAAGCGGGGGACCGUAAGGCCUCGCGCGAUUGGAGCGGCCGAUGUCAGAUUAGGUAGUUGGUGGGGUAAAGGCUCACCAAGCCAACGAUCUGUAGCUGGUCUGAGAGGACGACCAGCCACACUGGGACUGAGACACGGCCCAGACUCCUACGGGAGGCAGCAGUGGGGAAUUUUGGACAAUGGGCGCAAGCCUGAUCCAGCAAUGCCGCGUGCAGGAAGAAGGCCUUCGGGUUGUAAACUGCUUUUGUACGGAACGAAACGGCUCUCACUAAUACUGGGGGCUAAUGACGGUACCGUAAGAAUAAGCACCGGCUAACUACGUGCCAGCCGCCGCAGUAAAAC